GCACCCUUCCCAAAAAAAAUGAAAAGAAAGGCACGAAGCUUUUAGCAGCAUGCAAAGCCUUUGACUGGACAAAUUGGUUGUACAGUAAUUCCUCCAAGGAAUUAGACAAUGGAAAGCCCACGAAAAUAACCAGUCAUUUCAUGUCAAUCAUACAAAUUGUUUUAGCUUUGACCUUCACCUUUCAGCCCUUUUGAGGUUACUCGCUUUUGGUUUUG
rnacentral:lncRNA from 1 species